rnacentral:rRNA from 1 species
UACGAAGGGAGCUAGCGUUGUUCGGAAUCACUGGGCGUAAAGCGCACGUAGGCGGAUGUGUCAGUCAGGGGUGAAAUCCCGGAGCUCAACUUCGGAACUGCCUUUGAUACAGCACGUCUUGAGUCCGAUAGAGGUGGGUGGAAUUCCUAGUGUAGAGGUGAAAAUUCGUAGAUAUUCGCAAGAACACCAGUGGCGAAGGCGGCUCACUGGCCCGAUACUGACGCUGAGGCACGAAAGCGUGGGGAGCAAACAGG